rnacentral:rRNA from 1 species
GUAAGGAAUAUUGGUCAAUGGACGCAAGUCUGAACCAGCCAUGCCGCGUGAAGGAUGAAGGUCCUCUGGAUUGUAAACUUCUUUUAUCUGGGACGAAAACGGGAUUUUUAUCUCAAUUGACGGUACCAGAGGAAUAAGCACCGGCUAACUCCGUGCCAGCAGCCGCGGUAAUACGGAGGGUGCGAGCGUUAUCCGGAUUUACUGGGUUUAAAGGGUGCGUAGGUGGGCUUAUAAGUCAGUGGUGAAAUCUCCGAGCUUAACUUGGAAACUGCCGUUGAUACUAUAGGUCUUGAAUUAUCUGGAGGUAAGCGGAAUAUGUCAUGUAGCGGUGAAAUGCUUAGAUAUGACAUAGAACACCAAUUGCGAAGGCAGCUUACUACAUAUAAAUUGACGCUGAGGCACGAAAGCGUGGGGAUCAAAC